GAAUUAUUAUACUCAUACUAAUAGACAUUUAAAUUUAAUAGUUCAUGCUACCUAGGAAAUCUUUUUUUAAAUCAUUUAACAUUUCUCUAGUAACAUGAUCUGGAAUUGGUUGAUUAGCUAGUUCCUCCAUUGCAUCAAUGUCGUCAUCACUAAAAUCUUGCAUUAUUUCAUCAACGUCAUUUUCAAAUUUGGUCGGUAAAGGUGGACGACCAUAACUCCUUCUCUCGCCAUUAAUCCAAUCUCUAAAUAGUACCGAUAUCUCCAAGCUAUCUGCUGCUAAUGAAUAUCUAUGCUCUCCAAUUU
rnacentral:lncRNA from 1 species